rnacentral:rRNA from 1 species
AGUAAUACAUAAGUAACCUGCCCUAGACAGGGGGAGUAACUAUUGGAAACGAUAGCUAAGACCGCAUAGGUACGGACACUGCAUGGUGACCGUAUUAAAAGUGCCUCAAAGCACUGGUAGAGGAUGGACUUAUGGCGCAUUAGCUGGUUGGCGGGGUAACGGCCCGCCAAGGCGACGAUGCGUAGCCGACCUGAGAGGGUGACCGGCCACACUGGGACUGAGACACGGCCCAG